rnacentral:lncRNA from 1 species
AAGAAAUCAGGGCUGAUGGCUAAAAGAGGAGCCUGGCUUUUCACUCCUCUCUGGAUGUUGGCUGAGUCAUUCCCAGGCCCAUGGGGUGCUGCUGCCCAAGCAGCAUAGUUGAGAAAGUUCUCGAAAGGUUGACACAUGAUUCUUUCCCUGGAGGUGGGGGGCAACUGUGAACCCAGUGAGCCCUGGCUGAGCUCCCUGAACGUGGGAGCAGAGGAGAAGUUGGCAGCAGCAGGGCGAGGAGACAAAGGAGCAGAGGCGCCAUUCUUCAGCAUAGGAGGGACGCCUGAGUUCUCCGUGGAGCCACGAGGGUGCCUUGAAGGCAAAUGUCAUGGAGAGUCACUGAGGUUGCUUUCAACCAGGAGACCUGGAGCUUCGGCUACCUGGACCGACUCCUCUGGCAGCGCCCUUAGAAAAACAAUGAAUCUUCCCAUGUAAUUCACGGUUGGCUUUUUGAGUUUGCUUGUUUGUUACUCAAAACUUCAGAGUUCAGCCAGGAUGUUGCCUGGGUUCUUGUUGACUCCGCUUGGAUGUGCUCAACUUUAUUCAUGGUUGCAGAUCAAGUUCAAGAGGUGUCUAUCUGUGUCGCUCUUGUCCCUGAAGUCAAUUUAUACACAUUUGGUUUUUUGGGUUUUUGUUUUUUGUCAUUAUUGUUCUUUUUUGGCCGCACCUGCAGCAUAUGAAAGUUCCCUGGCUGGGGAUUAAAUCUGAACUGCAUCUGUGACCUAAACCACAGCUUCGGCAAUGCUGGAUCCUUAACCCAUUGUGCCAGGCCAGAGAUUGAACCUGCACCACGCCACCACAGAGACAAUGCUGGAUCCUUAACCCACUGAGGCACAGCGGGAACUCCAAUUUAUACACAUUUUUACGUGUAUGCUCUAGGAAGCCUGUAACUUUUGUCCAAGUCAGUCUCUUGGUAGGGUUUUGCAUGUCUUCAGCAAAACCUUAAGAUCCAUAAGGGUCUCCUCACUUCUUCCAGGUUCCAAAUGUAUAAAUAACAAUGUAACACUUGUUAUUUAUAUAAUGUGCAUUAUGUAUUGGAUAUUGAAAUGAUAACUGAUUGAGUUUCAACUAUCUCUUAUGGCUUCGAUUGUGGUCACAAUACAUGAGGCCAGUCUAUUAGCAAUCUGCACAUUUGGAAUUAUAAUAUCCAUCUUUGCAGGGCUGUUGUAAAUGAGCAUUCAUUCAUAUUAAGCAUCUACCCCAUAUUAAGUGAUGGUACAUUGUAGGCACUCAAUCAGCCGUGGCCACUACUACUGUUUUUACAACUCAUUGAUUCUAAUGCAUUUUCUAAUAACUUACCCGCUUCAUUUCCUCAUUGGCCAGCUUAAAUUCCAGUAUUAAUUAUGAAAUCACUGUACCCUUGCAUAAAUCCUCAGUUGUCUUGACCCUUUCUUUCCUCAUCAGAUUACUAUAGCAAACCACCAACCUGUGUAAACCCGUCGGUUUAUCUACCCACGCAGCUGAAAGUGGCCAGAGAAAACCACACUAACACGCUCAUUGGUCUCACUUGAAUUCUUAUUUACUCAUUUAGGGAUGAGUGGCGGUCAUCAUCUAUUUUCCUAAUCUGUUCACUUUCCCACUCUUCUCAACCACGAUUUUAUAUCUUCUCAUCUACCUUAAAUUGCCACCCUAUAGCAAGCCUAUGAGCUUGCUUCCAAUGUCACUAAGAAAAUACAAGCACUCAAACACUAACUUCCACAUACACCCUUCUCCACAUGCAAUUGCCCCCCUUCAUCUAUGUAUAUUUCACCUGGAAAAACGCCUGGCAAAAGCCAACUCCUCUAUUUUUGCCCUAGAUCUCAUCUCUGGUCUAUGCGAGGACACUGCUCGAGCAAUCAAUCUCCCCUCUCUCAUUAGCAAUCGCUUCUUCUAAUAGAUAUUUUCCAUUUGCCUACACAAUGCUGUUGAUUCUCCCAUCUGUUAUCCAAUCUUCUCUUGACACCAUUUUUUUGGCCAGUAAAACUCCAUUUUUUUUUUUUUUACUUCCUUUUAUAACAGAACUCCUUGAAUGGGUCAUCUCCAUUUCUUUUCUCCCAUUAUCUCUUGAGCAUAGUCCAAUCAGGUUGUUGGCCCAUCACUCCAGGGAAAACUGCUUUUCUCAAGGUUGCAAAUGACCGUCACUUUCUAAAUCCCAUGCUCAAUUCUCAGACCUCAUCUCAUUGACCUAUCUGCAGAAUUUAACACUCUGAAAGUCUUUCUUCAACACAUUUCUUAUUUUUCUUACUCAUUAGCAGCUCCUUCUGAGCCUACUUUGCUGUUUCUCCUCUUCUCCCCGAUCUCUUAGCAUUUAGUGAAGAAGUUCGAUCUUUAGAUCUCUAUGCCUUUCCCUCCACUCUUUCUCCCUUGGCACUAUCACUGAAUGUCAUGAUUUUAAUACUAUCUAUACACAAAUGGACCCCAAAUUUAAGUUUCCAUCAUGGGUCUUGCAACUCAACAUCUCCACAUCGCAGUCUAAAGAGCAUCCCAAACUUAACAUUGUCCAAAAUUGAGGUCCUGUGUUUUCCCCAACAAAUUUAUCAUAGUCUGUUCCAUUUUAGAAAACAGCAGCUCCAUCCUUCCAUUUACUUAUGGCAAAAAUCUUGGAGUCAUCUUUGACUCCAUUUUUUUUUCUUCCAACCUAUAUCUGGCAUAUCCACUAGCAAAUUGUGUCAGCUUCAUAUGAAAAAUAUGGCUAUAAUCCAACCAUUUUUCAAGCAACUCUCCUCAUUCCCUUAGAUUUAAAGCAAUAGCCUCUUUACUGUGCUCCCUGCUCUGUUUUUCCCCCACCUGUGUUUAUUCCCAACAACCCAGUAGAAUGUUUAAAAAAAUUUUAAGUAAGAUCAUAUUACUCUACUUCCUAUGACUGACAUUUUACUUACACAAAAAGUUAAAGUCCUUACAGUGGUACACAAGACCCUCCAUGAUCUGAAAGUCCAUCACUUCUCGGACUGCAUCUUCUGUUCGGGUUUUACUCAUUUGUUUUACUGUAAAAUGUCAAGCAUCCUCCCACUGUGAGGCCUUUGCACUAUUACUCAUGCUGGGACUGCUCCUCCCUAAAUAUUUGCCUUUCCUACUCCUCAGUUUCCUUUGGGUCUUUAAUCAACUGUCAUUGUAACAGACAGGAUGGGCUAGGUUAUGCUUCAGGGAUAAGCAUCUCCAAACGCAGCAGCUUAAAGCAAGUCAUAAUACAUGUCCAUUUUGGGGUAGCUGGUCUCUACUCCAUGUUAUCAUCAUUCUGGGUCCUGACCUGACAGAACAGUGCAAUUGGACAAUUGCUGUGGCAGAGGGAAAGAAAAAGCAUGAAGAAUCACAUGCUUGAUCUUAAAGCCUCUAUGCCAAAUGUCACACAUCACUUCUACUUACAUUUCAUCAGCCAAAGCAAGCCAGUGGGCAUCUCCAUUUCCAAUGCAUCAAGGAAACACAACCCUAUCACAUGCCAGAAGAACUAGAAAUUCUGAUAAACAAUACUAUAUUAAUGGUUAUUGAUCAUCAUCUAACGGAGACCUUCCCUGGCCACAUAGGAAGUUACAAGUCUUCCCAACCCCUUCCUGAUUUCCCUCUUCCCCUUAACUACUGUAUUUAUCUCUUCAGCAUCUAUCAUUACCUACGCAUACUAUACAAUUACAUAUUUAUCUUGUUUGUUUUAUAUCAUCCUUCAUUAGAAUGUAAACUCCAAUGGAAAGGAGAGUUUUGCUGUUUUAUUCAAUAAAUAUAUUUUGCUGUUGUGUUUGUUCCCA